rnacentral:rRNA from 1 species
GACGAACGCUGGCGGCGCGCCUAACACAUGCAAGUCGAACGAGCGAGAGAGAGCUUGCUUUCUUGAGCGAGUGGCGAACGGGUGAGUAACGCGUGAGGAACCUGCCUCAAAGAGGGGGACAACAGUUGGAAACGACUGCUAAUACCGCAUAAGCCCACAGGUCGGCAUCGACCAGAGGGAAAAGGAGCAAUCCGCUUUGAGAUGGCCUCGCGUCCGAUUAGCUAGUUGGUGAGGUAAUGGCCCACCAAGGCGACGAUCGGUAGCCGGACUGAGAGGUUGAACGGCCACAUUGGGACUGAGACACGGCCCAGACUCCUACGGGAGGCAGCAGUGGGGAAUAUUGCACAAUGGGGGAAACCCUGAUGCAGCGACGCCGCGUGGAGGAAGAAGGUCUUCGGAUUGUAAACUCCUGUUGUUG